rnacentral:rRNA from 1 species
CACGGCCUCGGCCACAUCGACCAUCACCCCUUGAAUGCUGUUGCUCUUGAUGUCGAGGAAGGUAAACGGCGAACCACUGGCCGUUGCACCGACUUUGUACGAGGACAUACGUCCUACGGGAGAAAGCAGGGGACCUUCGGGCCUUGCGCUAUCAGAUGAGCCUAGGUCGGAUUAGCUAGUUGGUGGGGUAAUGGCUCACCAAGGCGACGAUCCGUAACUGGUCUGAGAGGAUGAUCAGUCACACUGGAACU